rnacentral:rRNA from 1 species
GAUGAACGCUGGCGGCGUGCUUAACACAUGCAAGUCGAACGAACCUUGAGGAGCUUGCUCCUCUUGGUUAGUGGCGGACGGGUGAGUAACGCGUGGGUAACCUGCCCUAUGCAGGGGGAUAACGUUUGGAAACGAACGCUAAUACCGCAUAAACUAUGAGGAUCGCAUGAUUCUAAUAGCAAAGAUUUAUCGGCAUAGGAUGGACCCGCGUUGGAUUAGCUAGUUGGUGAGAUAACAGCCCACCAAGGCGACGAUCCAUAGCCGGCCUGAGAGGGUGAACGGCCACACUGGGACUGAGACACGGCCCAGACUCCUACGGGAGGCAG